rnacentral:tRNA from 1 species
UCAUAGCUCAGUCGGUAGAGAAUCUGCCUGCAAUGCAGGAGACCCAGGUUUGGUUCCUGGGUUGUGAA